GACGAAGGGGGCUAGCGUUGUUCGGAAUUACUGGGCGUAAAGCGCGUGUAGGUGGAUUGGUGUGUCAGAUGUGAAAGCCCUGGGCUCAACCCAGGAACUGCACCUGAAACUACCAGUCUUGAGUGGUGGAGAGGGAAGUGGAAUUCCUGGUGUAGAGGUGAAAUUCGUAGAUAUUCGCAAGAACACCAGUGGCGAAGGCGGCUCACUGGCCCGAUACUGACGCUGAGGUGCGAAAGCGUGGGGAGCAAACAGG
rnacentral:rRNA from 1 species